GUGGCUUCUGGGCCUUUAGGCUAAGAUCAAGUGUUCGCUGUUCCUAUCAGUUUAAUAUCUGCUCCAUCCUCUACCUGAGGUUGUUAUAUUAAAUGGGCCUUGGACGAGAGAGAUGGAAUAGGAGCUUGCUCCCUCCACUUCACCCAUCAACUUGGUACAGCAGGACCGCCAGGAAUGGGGAACCCUCU